rnacentral:sRNA from 1 species
AUAUCUUGAAUGUAACAAUGCAACAAUGAAUUGGAAAUGAUGCCAAAUUGAUAAGUAGGUUUUUAGGCCUACUUGUGUGCUGAAUGUGAGGUUCAGUUCAAUUCUCCUUAAACACUAAGAUGUCGAUGCAUGUAUAGGGGGUGUCAAUCCAGUCAAGAUGUGUACAGAAGCUACUAAGUCAAGCCAGAUUAUAGUGAUGGUGGGUUUCUAGUAACAAUCCUAGGUCAAGAUUCAAACAACAAAAAAAGAACUUUUAAAAGCCCUACUCGAUCAUUGGGUCGAGUAGAACCAACAGGCAGAACUAAAAUGCAAUCAACAGGGGAUACAAAUAAAAGGUAAAUAAAAGUGCAAUCAAGGGGUGAAUACAAAUAAAUCUAAGAAGAAUAGAAGUCCUAAGGAUGGAUUCAUUGAUAAGGGCAACUCUAGGGUUCAUCAGGAGGCUAACAGGUGAAAGGUAGAUACCCUAGACGAUAGAUUCAAAAACCGGGUCAAUCCACUGUCAUGACAGAGACCCUCAUAACUCUACCACUUCCUAAUCUCACCUCUCGUUGAUGAAACAUAGCAGAGAAGGGUUUAAGCAACAAUCUACCAAAGUCAAUAAGCGGACUAGCCAAUGUCUUGGUCAAGUCUACAAAUCUCUGGAAUUCGUAGAUCAGACAUCCAUUUGAACAUCUUUUGGACGCUGGACGUCUAUGAUCGAAUCUCGACAUUACCAGCGAAAAACGCAUAGGGUCCACGCGAAUCCAGAAGGGAUCUAACCUAAUCUUAACCACCUGACUAACCUAGAGAUUACCCUAAUCUAAUUCAUCCUCAAGAACCCUAAUCACUACUCAAGCAACACA